GUGAGAAUCCCUAAUGACAGUCCCACUUUUCAUUGGGGGCGGGGGGGAAAUCCUGUCUUCUCUCUUGAUGAAGGACAGUGCUUUGAUCAUUGUCAUUCAGCCUUGACUUGGCCUGAGGUUUAGGUUCUCAGCCUAGAAGACAGUAGGCUAUCUUCUCUCUCUCUCUCUCUCUCUCUCUCUCUGACACACACACACGUACGUUUGCUGGUCUGUGCAGGCAGAUUAGUGUCACAGCUGUAACUGAGGCACAGAGCAAUAAACAUAGCAGAAGCAAUUUCCAUGGUGGCAAGAGGGGGCACGGGAGGUGACGACAAUGAGAAGGAUCUCUUCUUCUGACAAGUUUUAGAUACUACAGGCUUAUUGAACAAUCCAUCGACCCUUCUGUAGUGAGUCCACUUAGUGCAGAAUGGCUGCAGGGAAACUAUUCAGACAUCCCGAUUGGAACAAAUCCCUUCAGGAUUUAACGCAGGAAGCACGGGACGUUUACGCAGGUACGAUAAAUAAAUGAAUAUUGGACUACAUCACAUAGGUCCUGGAGAACAAAAGAGGCUUUGCACUGAAAUACCUCCAAAGCUUUCUGAAAAUGCUAAUAGAGAGAAGUUUUCCUGGCAUGAAAAAGUAAAUCAUGCACAAAGUUAGUUGAACAACAUUUUAUACAUCACUCAUCCUGUUACAUCCAUGAAGCUGAUCCAUUUCCCUAUAAGGUAAGAGACCGAUUUAGCUUCAGUUACAUACAGAUGAAAAGAUAUAAUGCUCCUUUAUUAAAAUUAU
rnacentral:lncRNA from 1 species